rnacentral:rRNA from 1 species
ACGCGGCGGAGGCUACACAUCCAGUCUUACGGUACAUUUCUAGCUUGCUAGAAGAUGACGAGCGGCGGACGGGUGAGUAAUGCUUGGGAACAUGCCUUGAGGUGGGGGACAACAGUUGGAAACGACUGCUAAUACCGCAUAAUGUCUACGGACCAAAGGGGGCUUCGGCUCUCGCCCUUUUAAUUGGCCCAAGUGGGAUUAGCUAGUUGGUGAGGUAAUGGCUCACCAAGGCGACGAUCCCUAGCUGGUUUGAGAGGAUGAUCAGCCACACUGGGACUGAGACACGGCCCAGACUCCUACGGGAGGCAGCAGUGGGGAAUAUUGCACAAUGGGCGCAAGCCUGAUGCAGCCAUGCCGCGUGUGUGAAGAAGGCCUUCGGGUUGUAAAGCACUUUCAGUCAGGAGGAAAGGUUAGUAGUUAAUACCUGCUAGCUGUGACGUUACUGACAGAAGAAGCACCGGCUAACUCCGUGCCAGCAGCCGCGGUAAUACGGAGGGUGCGAGCGUUAUCGGAAUUACUGGGCGUAAAGCGUACGCAGGCGGUUUGUUNAGCGAGAUGUGAAAGCCCCGGGCUCAACCUGGGAACUGCUUUCGAACCUGGCAAACUAGAGUGUGAUCAGGAGGGGUGGUAGC